rnacentral:rRNA from 1 species
UUAAGUCCCGCAACGAGCGCAACCCUUGCCAUUAGUUGCUACGAAAGGGCACGUCUAAUGGGACUGCCGGUGACAAACCGGAGGAAGGUGGGGAUGACGUCAAGUCCUCAUGGCCCUUAUAGGUGGGGCUACACACGUCAUACAAUGGCCGGUACAGAGGGUAGCCAACCCGCGAGGGGAGCCAAUCCCACAAAGCCGGUCGUAGUCCGGAUCGCAGUCUGCAACUCGACUGCGUGAAGUCGGAAUCGCUAGUAAUCGCGGAUCAGCAUGUCGCGGUGAAUACGUUCCCGGGUCUU